GGAUGUGCCGCCGCUUUUUAGUUUCUGAGGCGCCGGCGGUGUUCCUGGUAGCGUCAGCCUCCUGGCUUUUCCUUUUCCUGGACGCUUCAGGGCUCCGCGGCCUGCGCUAGACUGGAGGGUCCGCGUCACUCUCGCCCUCCUGCUUUCCGCGCUCUCACCCGCUCCCGCCUCCUGAGGGCACGACUUGUGGAGGAGCGCGGGCGGCGGGGCGUGAGCGAGCUGCCUCUGCCGCCAUCUUAGAGAAGGCGAGCGUGGGGUGUGCGUGGGCGCGAGUCGGCCUCCCGCGGUGCCGCCGCAGCGUGGCGCGGAGAGGCAGGGGCAUCCAGUGGUUCAAGGUUACAAUAAGCUGUGAUCGUGCCACUGCAUUCUACCUGGGAUGACAGAGUGGGACCCUGUGCCACAGAGUGAGACCCUGUCUCAAAAAAAAAAAAACUAUGUAAAUCCAAGGAGACGACUCACCUGUAUUGUACCUCUCCAAGUUCUGGAAAGUCGAUGGAGGGUUUACUCAGGUUAGGUGUCUAUACCAAACCAAACAUUAGACUUUCAUAAAAACAAGAAAGGAAAUUGUUUUUGAAGUAUUGAACCCACAGUAUUUAAUGAGAGCAAUCUAUAUUUUACCUAAUUUAGUCUCAAAUAUCACUUAUAUGUACAUAUGCAUGCAUAUAUAUGUAUAUAUACACGUAUUACACUAUAGGUAUUGAUAUCAUCUUCCAGCUCUUAGGCCAAUGAAACAUCCAUGCUGUGGUCUGCUCUGGAUUAUUCUUCUAUAUUUUGCCUACCCUUUUUUUUAAUAUCUCACCUUCUUGCCUUAACUGGAUGAGAUUUCAGGGUCCUUAUUUUUAUUACCUAUUAAUGCAUUUACAAAAAGUUCCCUCCAAGUACAGUGUUUUAAAUUUUGGAAUAUUUUAAUAUACUUAAAUUUAUAGCAUCUAAUAUAAACAUGCAUGUAUCUAACUUCUGGCGUCCUCAAAUUUAA
rnacentral:lncRNA from 1 species